GGUGACUCAGUCCACAGCCAAGGAACUGGUAGACCUCCAAUCCCAUCAGGCUGGGAAGACAAGGGAGAGGGAACGGGGGAGACUAAACGCAUUGUAUUCUUCUGCUAUGUUUGUUUUGUUAAGGCCAGAGGUGAGGCAAAGGCCGGGGAGGAGGAGAUUGUGGAAAUCUCUGCUGACAGUAAGGGGAAUGAGAAAUUUUCAGUUAUGUAUCCUCUCUGGAGCAGUAAAAGCACUCAUCACUCCUCAGGACAGAAGGGGAGGUAGCCCAGAGAUGAGUGAAGCAAGCCUAAGAGGAAAGUGAAUUUCAAGGACCAAGACUCAAGACUUUGAGGCCAAACUAGUUUCAACCAGAGAAGCUCUGCUUUAGUCUGUCAUGCAGAUUGUGUUUACAUCAUAUUUUUUCUUCAGCUACAUUUUAAGCAAAUAGAAUUUUGUGGGCUACCCUGAAAACCUAAUUAUUAUUUGCAACAUAAAUCCUAUCGAAAAACACAAAUCUUAAUUCAAGAUGACAAAAAUACAUCUCCCUCCCCUCCAGCAACUUCCCAGUAGUUGAACAGCAAGACGGGAUUUGUUAUGACCUACCUGAAUACCUUCUACUCCAUCCCCAUGACAAACACAGCUCCUAGCUUGGAAUAAAGAAAUCUCUUCCUGCAGCCACAAAGGGAUCCCUAGUUCUGCUUUCUCUGAAACACCCCAGCAGCACCACAAUGACUGGAGAUCAGUCAGUGGAAAGAGACCACAAAGGCACCCAGGAGCACUGACUUUCUAAGGCUUAGGAAAUUCAUUCCACCAGAGCCCUGGCUAUGCCAGCAAGUGCCCAAAUAAAUAUUCUACAUGUGAA